rnacentral:lncRNA from 1 species
GCUGGUAGAGCUGGGAGCAGACCUGGAGGGGUCGGACCUGCAGGUCCUUGACGGUGCUGAUAUACAUAGGUGCUUUGAGAAAAAAAUCAGUUAGGUAUGAUUCUCAGUUCUCACUACCUCCGCGUGAUGCAAUUAAAAUUUCAAAUCUUUAUUGUUAUUUCCAAUUAAUUUUGCGGCUGAUUGGACAAUAUCAGUUACUAACUUAAUUCAAAUGGCUGGCCAAUUAUCUGACACAGUUUUAUAGUGUUUUAGUUUAUUUCAAUAACUGUUAUCCUAUAAAUUUAGUUUGUUUUAAAGGUUUGCCAUGUUUCUUUAAAAUUUAUCCGUUGAAUUUGUAUGUCUGCUCCACUGGGCUGCUGCUGCAAGCUUUCAUGUUUGGCUCUUGCAACAUUGUUUCAUAUUUGUAUGCUCUAUUUUCCUGUUCAGUCAUUUUGGUCUUUAUAUAUGGCUUGUGUUUGUGGGGAUCUUAUUCAAUCAAAGGUUAUAAGAUAUAUUACACUGCCUUUGUUGUUUCUCAUAUAUAUCUUACAUAGAUCACUAUAUGAAAAACUUAACCUUAUGAGGUCGCGGUUAUGUUAUGUGUUGACUACAUAUAUAGUUAGUUCUACAAAUCAGGGCAUUGAACUUCCAAAGUCAGGUUGGAUGUAGCUCUGAUAUAAUUAUGUAUGAAGUGAUAUGAAGGUGCGCUCAUGUCUUGCAAGACAUCCUGCUUCUGUGUCAGGCAAAUGUGCACAUCAUUGACACCAUUGAUGCACGAGCACUGAUAUUUUUUUUCCAUCUUUGAAUGUUCCAUAGGAAGUUCAGAUUUUUAUUGACCAUUUUUGUACAUAAGGAUGUAUUUUUUCAUUUAUAAUUAGGUGAAUGAAUUACAGUUCGAAAUGAUCUAUAUGGAGGUCACAUUGUUUUUUAGGGAAUUAGUCCCCUGGUGAAGUGGUGGGCAUUAUCAAUGCUGCUGCAUUUUAAGGUAGUGGUCAAAAUGCUAGCUAGGAUAAAUUGUAAGGAGCUGAUCAUAGUUUUAGGCUAUUACUGUAGAAAUUCAUGGUAUUAUCCUUGCCAUGACAGUGAUGUAUUUGCAUUGCUGCAUAAAUUCAUGGAGUGAUUCAUAUUUUCUUGACUCAUUUUACAUGUAUUGUUACUGCAACAACAGCAAUCUAUUCUUUCAUCUAUGGUGUUAAAAAAACGACGUGUAACAUAUAGAAGGUUAGGAAUUUCAGUUUCUUAUUUGGAUUUUGCAACUUAACCAUGAAUGUGAAUGUGUAGGAAUAAUGCCAAAAUUACCUAAUCAAAUUGCAAUAAGAUUUUUAGGUUUAUUAGUUAAGUCAAACCUUACCACUUGGACCCUUCUAAUGGAUUGGUUUUCACGCAGGAUGAUGCGGUGCUUACGGGAGGUAGAUGGUGAAUAGAGAGGGUGGGAGAGAGAAGGAGAGGGAGCGAUAGACAUAUAUGCAUUAUAUUCAUAGGUGCAGUCGAAAACUCAAAUCAAAGGCCCGUGGCAACGUGCGGGCAUUCUACUGGUUUUUGAACUUCCGUUUCUUGGUCAAGUGACAUUUAAAGUUUGCACUUCCUAGACAAAAGAAUUGGUAAAAUACAGUGAUUUAGUUACUUUCUUGGUCUCAGUUAAUGUACUUCUGUUGAAUUCUUCUGUCACUCUUGAUACAAAGCUAUAGCUAU